rnacentral:rRNA from 1 species
GGGGGGGGGGGGGGGGGGGGCUAGUGCAUGCGGGUCGAGCGGACAGACGAGGGGCUUGCUCCUCUGACGUUAGCGGCGGACGGGUGCGUCACCCGUGGAUAACCCACGUAUAAGCGUGGGAUCAUUUCGGGACACCGGAGCUCAUCCCGGAUGAUAUAUUGCACCGCAUGGUUCAAUAGUGAAAGACGGCUUUGCUGUCACUGAUGGAUGGAUCCGCGCCGCAUUAGCUAGUUGGUCUGGGAACGGCUUACCAAGGCGACGAUGCGUAGCCGACCUGAGAGGGUGAGCGGCCACACUGGAACGGAGACACGGUCCAGACUCCUACGGGAGGCAGCAGUAGGGAAUCUUCCGCAAUGGGCGAAAGCCUGACGGAGCAACGCCGCGUGAGUGAUGAAGGUCUUCGGAUCGUAAAACUCUGUUAGUAGGGAAGAACAAAUGUGUAAGUAACUAUGCACGUCUUGACGGUACCUAAUCAGAAAGCCACGGCUAACUACGUG